AAAACUUAGCACCAAAAUGAUUUAUUAUUUUAUACAGGAAUUAAACUGUCUGUCAUGUAAACCUGAAAAUAUAAAUAAAACAAUGAUUAAAAUCAUGAACUCAAGUAGUGACGGUAGCUGCAG